rnacentral:rRNA from 2 species
ACGUAGGUGGCAAGCGUUGUCCGGAUUUAUUGGGCGUAAAGCGAGUGCAGGCGGUUCAAUAAGUCUGAUGUGAAAGCCUUCGGCUCAACCGGAGAAUUGCAUCAGAAACUGUUGAACUUGAGUGCAGAAGAGGAGAGUGGAACUCCAUGUGUAGCGGUGGAAUGCGUAGAUAUAUGGAAGAACACCAGUGGCGAAGGCGGCUCUCUGGUCUGCAACUGACGCUGAGGCUCGAAAGCAUGGGUAGCGAACAG